rnacentral:rRNA from 1 species
AGCAAGAAACCUAGUUCGCACGGAGUUUCCAAAAUAUGUCCACCACCACUAACCAAACCAUUUGACCAAUCUAGUAUAUGAGAUAGAAAAAUACCAACGAAACAAUAACACCAGUACCAUAAGGGAAAGUUGAAAGAACAUGAAACAAUAAAGCAACACAAAGCAGUGACAAACCCACGUACCUUUUGCAUCACGAUUUAGCAAGCACUCCCAGGUAUAAAGAAUUUAAACCUGCCCUCCCGAAUCCAGACGAGCUAUCUCAAGACAAUACCAGAAUCAACCCAUUCCUGUGGCAAAAGGAAGGGAAGAUCUUGAGAUAGAGGUGAAAAGCCUAUCGAGCCUGGAGAUAGCUGGUCACUCGCACAAAUGAAUUUUAGUUCAACUCUAGGUAACUUACAAGUAACAUCCCAACCCCCCAUUAACCCUAGAAGCUAUUCAAUAAGGGUACAGCCUUACUGAAACAGGACACAACCUUAACCAGAGGCAAACCACCACCUCCAACACAUGCCAGUAGGCCUUUAACCAGCCAACAGAAACAACCGCGUCAAAGCGUCCGAGUUUCCAAAAUAUGUCCAUCCUACAGACAAGCCCUGAAUUAUUAUCGAGCUACCCUAUACAGCCAUAGGGGCACUAAUGCUAAAACUAGUAAUAAGGAAACAUCACCCUCCCCCACACACCUGUAAAUCAGAACGAAUCCUUCACUGAACUUUAACAAGCUGCAACGAAGUAACACCCUCUUCCCCAAGAUACCCCGCAACACAGUCUGUUAACCCAACACAGGGGUGCAAAAAGGACAGAUUAAAAGCUCAAGAAGGAACUCAGCUAACGAACCCCAACUGUUUACCAAAAACAUAGCCUUUAGCCAUCCUAGUAUUAAAGGUCCCGCCUGCCCAGUGAUUCUCUUAAACGGCCGCGGUAUCCUAACCGUGCAAAGGUAGCGCAAUCCCUUGUCUCCUAAAUAGAGACUAGUAUGAACGGCUAAAUGAGGGCUCAACUGUCUCCUAGAGCCAAUCAAUGAAACUGAUCUUCCAGUUAAAAAGCUGUAAUAAAACCAUAAGACGAGAAGACCCUGUGGAGCUUAAAAACCAACCUAUGAUGUACUAUGGCAAUAUCCAUAGGGCAAGUUUUUUAGUUGGGGCGACUUUGGAGAAAAUAAAACCUCCAAGCCAGGGAUUCCCCUACCAAGGCCCACACGCCAAAAUAACACCAUUUUGACCCAGCACCCCUGAUCAACGAACCAAGUUACCCCAGGGAUAACAGCGCUAUCCCCUUAAAGAGUCCAUAUCUACUGGGGGGUUUACGACCUCGAUGUUGGAUCAGGACAUCCUUGUGGUGCAGCCGCUACUAAGGGUUCGUUUGUUCAACGAUUAACAGUCCUACGUGAUCUGAGUUCAGACCGGAGCAAUCCAGGUCGGUUUCUAUCUAUGUCCAUCUUCUUCAGUACGAAAGGACCAGGAAGAUAAUACCCAUGGCACUGCCACGUAUUACCAAAAAAGCUGACCACCCCUAAAGCCACAACACCACCCCCCGCCCCGCCCCAUAUAAGGGCAUU